rnacentral:rRNA from 1 species
UUCCGGUUGAUCCUGCCGGAGGCUACCGCUAUUGGAGUUCGAUUAAGCCAUGCGAGUCGAGAGUCUUAGGGACUCGGCGUACCGCUCAGUAACACGUGGGUAACCUGCCCUAUGCUGGGGAAUAACCUCGGGAAACUGAGAAUAAUACCCCAUAGUUCACCACGCCUGGAACGGUGGGUGGAUGAAAGCUCCGGCGGCAUAGGAUGGGCCUGCGACGUAUCAGGUUGUAGGGGGUGUAACGUACCCUCUAGCCAUCAACGCGUACGGGUGUUGGGAGACAUAGCCCGGAGAUGGAUUCUGAGACACGAAUCCAGACCCUACGGGGUGCAGCAGGCGCGAAAACUUGGCAAUGCGAGCAAUCGUGACCAGGGAACUCCAAGUGGCUGGGGUAAUACCCAGUUUUUUCUUGACUCUUCAAAGGUCUUGGAAUAAGGGGUGGGUAAGGACGGUGCCAGCCGCCGCGGUAAUACCGGCGCCUCAAGUGGUAGUCGCUUUUAUUGGGCCUAAAACGUCCGUAGCCGGUCUGGUGCAUUCGUGGGUAAAUCAACCCGCUCAACGGGUUGAAUUCUGCGAGCACGGCCAGACUUGGGACCGGGAGAGGUGUGGGGUACUCUCAGGGUAGGGGUAAAAUCCUGUCAUCCUGAGAGGACCACCUGUUGC